rnacentral:tRNA from 1 species
GUGCCCGUAGCUCAGUUGGUGGUAGCACCUGCCUUUUAAGCAGGGGGUCGGGGGUUCAAGUCCCUCCGGGCAUA